CACGUAGGGUGCGAGCGUUGUCCGGAAUUAUUGGGCGUAAAGAGCUCGUAGGCGGUUUGUCGCGUCGGCCGUGAAAUCUCCACGCUUAACGUGGAGCGUGCGGUCGAUACGGGCAGACUUGAGUUCGGUAGGGGAGACUGGAAUUCCUGGUGUAGCGGUGAAAUGCGCAGAUAUCAGGAGGAACACCGGUGGCGAAGGCGGUUCUCUGGGCCUGUACUGACGCUGAGGAACGAAAGCGUGGGGAGCGAACAGG
rnacentral:rRNA from 1 species